AAGUCGUAACAAGGUUUCCGUAGGUGAACCUGCGGAAGGAUCAUUACAGUAUUCUUUUGCCAGCGCUUAACUGCGCGGCGAAAAACCUUACACACAGUGUCUUUUUGAUACAGAACUCUUGCUUUGGUUUGGCCUAGAGAUAGGUUGGGCCAGAGGUUUAACAAAACACAAUUUAAUUAUUUUUACAGUUAGUCAAAUUUUGAAUUAAUCUUCAAAACUUUCAACAACGGAUCUCUUGGUUCUCGCAUCGAUGAAGAACGCAGCGAAAUGCGAUAAGUAAUAUGAAUUGCAGAUUUUCGUGAAUCAUCGAAUCUUUGAACGCACAUUGCGCCCUCUGGUAUUCCAGAGGGCAUGCCUGUUUGAGCGUCAUUUCUCUCUCAAACCCCCGGGUUUGGUAUUGAGUGAUACUCUUAGUCGGACUAGGCGUUUGCUUGAAAAGUAUUGGCAUGGGUAGUACUAGAUAGUGCUGUCGACCUCUCAAUGUAUUAGGUUUAUCCAACUCGUUGAAUGGUGUGGCGGGAUAUUUCUGGUAUUGUUGGCCCGGCCUUACAACAACCAAACAAGUUUGACCUCAAAUCAGGUAGGAAUACCCGCUGAACUUAAGCAUAUCAAUAAAGCCGAAAGGGAA
rnacentral:rRNA from 1 species